GUAGAGCAGUGAUCUCUCUGCAGCGAACUUAAGGAAGCCUUUGCACCCCUAACGGGGGCUCUCGCGACUCUAAAUAAGGAGGCAUGCAAGUGACAAAGCCCAACGGCUGAGUUGCAACACAAUCGAAUUGCGGGGAAGUCCUAAAGCCUCAGGGUACUAACCUGCUGUAGGAAUGCAGCAGGGGCCUGUGUUAAUCGCACAGGGUAUAGUAACAACCCCGGAGGAUCUAGCCAGGUGUGCUAGAAUGGACGAUCCGCAGCGAAGCCCCUAGACCAGGGGAACGUUCACAGACUAAGUGGUUGUGGGUAGGAGGGACUCCUGCUUAAGAUAUAGUCGGGCCGGCGCGGAAACGCGCUGGGGAUUCGCAAGAACGUAAACCGCUCCGUAGGUGAACCUGCGGAGGGAUC
rnacentral:rRNA from 1 species